AACGAACGCUGGCGGCAGGCCUAACACAUGCAAGUCGAACGCUGUAGCAAUACAGAGUGGCAGACGGGUGAGUAACGCGUGGGAACCUUCCCAGUGGUGCGGAAUAGCUCAGGGAAACUUGAGGUAAUACCGCAUAAGCCCCUAGGGGGAAAGAUUUAUCGCCUUUGGAUGGGCCCGCGUCGGAUUAGCUAGGUGGAGAGGUAAUGGCUCACCAAGGCAACGAUCCGUAGCUGGUUUGAGAGAUUGACCAGCCACACUGGGACUGAGACACGGCCCAGACUCCUACGGGAGGCAGCAGUGGGGAAUCUUGGACAAUGGGCGCAAGCCUGAUCCAGCCAUGCCGCGUGAGUGACGAAGGCCUUAGAGUUGGAAAGCUCUUUUGCCGGUGACGAUAAUGACGGUACCCGGAGAAUAAGUCCCGGCUAACUUCGUGCCAGCCGCCGCUGUAA
rnacentral:rRNA from 1 species